rnacentral:rRNA from 1 species
AACGAACGCUGGCGGCAUGCCUAACACAUGCAAGUCGAACGAGACCUUCGGGUCUAGUGGCGCACGGGUGCGUAACGCGUGGGAACCUGCCCUUAGGUUCGGAAUAACUCCCCGAAAGGGGUGCUAAUACCGGAUAAUGUCUUCGGACCAAAGAUUUAUCGCCUUUGGAUGGGCCCGCGUUGGAUUAGCUAGUUGGUAGGGUAAAAGCCUACCAAGGCGACGAUCCAUAGCUGGUCUGAGAGGAUGAUCAGCCACACUGGGACUGGGACACGGCCCAGACUCCUACGGGAGGCGGCAGUGGCGAAUAUUGGACAAUGGGCGAAAGGCUGAUCCAGCAAUGCCGGGUGAGUGAUGAAGGCCUUAGGGUUGUAAAGCUCGUUUACCCGGGAUGAUAAUGACAGUACCGGGAGAAUAAGCACCGGCUAACUCCGUG